AGGCGAUUGGUACAGCGGCCGUGCACCGGACUCCAAACCCGGCUUACGGGGGUUCAACUCCCUCAUCGCCUGCCA
rnacentral:tRNA from 1 species